AACGCACAUUGCACUCCUUGGUAUUCCGAGGGGUAUGCCUGUUUCAGUAUCAUGAGCACUCUCACACCUAACCUUUGGGUUUAUGGCGUGGAAUUGGAAUGCGCCGACUGUCAUGGUUGGCCCUUCUAAAAUGUAGUUCUUGGCUGUCACCUAAUACAGCAGUUUGGCCUAAUAGUUUUGGCAUUCAUUGUCAAAUCUUUGGCUAACAUUUGCUCCAGGAGUCAGUCUUGAUAAUACAGAAAACUCAUUCAAAUUUUGAUCUGAAAUCAGGUAGGGCUACCCGCUGAACUUAA
rnacentral:misc_RNA from 1 species